rnacentral:miRNA from 1 species
UCAGGAAUGGGCUAAAUGCCAA